AUAUGUCAUGACUUUUCUGAAGACCCAAUAUUAAUAAUACAUGGAUUAUAACAGAAAACAGAAACUCAACCAUAGCUCAUUGGUUUAUUCUAUGUAUAGUGAAAUUAUCCACAUAUAAGUUGGUUUAUUCUAUUUACUCAAAAACUUAUUAGACGCCAAUAUAUACCAUGCUCUACUCCUGGAAGAUGAAACAUAACAGUGAAAAAAAAAAAGGAAAGAAAGAAUGCCGCCCUGUAUUUUUAGAAUAGAGCUUACAUUCAGGAAGAAAUGAUGUAAAUAACCAUGUGACAUUCCUCCAGAGCAAAGCCAGCCGUCACAGACGAAUGUGAUGGGGCUGGAAAUCAGCUCUCCUACUCGCUUCCAGCCUCAAGUGGAAAUGGACGGAAUUUCUUAGCUUCCAAAACCAGGGAGAAAUGGGCAAGGCAGGUGCGGAAUGAGUGGCACCCCCACCCAGGAGGGGGCGCCAGGGGUGAGAGCUCUAGUUCUGAUCUCCCUGCUGUGAGCAGCGGAACACAUGCCCGCCAGCCAGGAUGCCCGGGAAUGCUGCCACAUGCUAGGGUUGCCGGGCAGCCUCAUACGGGGCCCGAUUUGACACGUCGCCUUGACUGGACCAUGGAGUCCCUAGGUAUUGGGUCAAAUGUGAUUCUGGGUAUUUCUGUGAGGGUGUUUUGGAUGACAUUGACGUUUCAGCUGGAGGAACUGAUGGAAGCAGGCUGCUCUUGCCAGCGUGACAGGCCAUCACCCAAUCCACCGGAGGCCUGGUUAGAACAAAACAGCUGACCCCUGCCCCCAAGUAGGAGGCAAUUCCUUCUGCCUGGGGGCCUUUGAACUUGAACAUAAGCUUUUGUUCCCAUCUUCAGGCUGGAACUGCGUCAUCACCUCUCCUGGUGCUCAGGCCUUUGGACUCAGACCAAACUACACCAUCUGUCAUCCUGUGUCACCACCUUGUCACCACCUUGCUGACUCAGCCUGGACAUCUUAGGGCUGUCCCUCCUCCAUGAUCAUGCUGUCCCAGGAGGUGUGGAACAGGGACCCUGAGAAGGAAGGACCAGAGUUUGCCAACGAGAAGAUGGAGCCUGGAGAGAGCAGAUGCCUGGCCCUGCGUCUUGUGGUGGAGCUGAGAAGCAGCUGGUGAGGGUCAUGGUUUGCGCUUCCCUCAGCCUCUACGGAGCAUGUUUGCUGGGGGACCUGGGAGCAUGCGCUCGUUUGUCAAGGCUCCUUGCGCGUGGACUCUGAUCCUUCUCUCUCGGCUCCGUGUGAAGAAAAGGCAGCGUGGGUCUAAUUGAGUAACCCUUUGCACACGUGGUCUCAUCACCUCUCACACCGGCUCUUUGGAAAACGCUUUCAACCGAGUUAUGAACACCUUCCGAAUACUGACACAUCACCGUACCAACAUCAGACAAUCACGUUCUUUAAUAUCCCCGCUUAUGUCAUCAGAAAAGGGUUUGAAUCCUGGGACGCUGCCAUCCUCCCAAGGACAGACGCGAGUUUCCCGAAAUUCUAGUUUUUCUUGCUUGCUAUCUCUCAUGUUGUCACUGCUCAUAAGCACUGCCAGCUGUUUCUUUUGAGAUGACAGUUUGCUUUGUUAAUUUUUAUGAAAACGCCUGCCAA